UCCUAAUAAUAAUCUCUACUCAAACAAUUUUAUUGCCAUACUUAGCCAUAAAAGAUCAUCGUCUGGAUGUCAUACAAAUUGUGACUUCUCAUAAAUAUGUAAGAAUGGUGUGAGGCCACACGUGACCAGCAGAUGGCGCAGCUGCUCUUCUGUCUUUCCAUUAAUAGACGGUCUCAUACCUGCGAAACCCCCAAAGCUAGCAGUAUUUUCCCUUUUGCAAAUCAUCCUCUGCUUUCACAGGCUUUGACUGGGACAUAAAAUCAUCGAGACAUUUCAGAACCGGAGGAUAAAGGUUCUAUCGCCACAAGGUUCAAAUAUAACCAUUAAAAAAAGGGCCACGAGCAUUAUCCGGCAAAGGCUCAUAUGUGCAGAGUCGCCCAACAGGUUGAAAUGUUCCUCUAAUCGCCUGCCCCCUGAACAUCACUCGCCACAGCUCCCCUAAGAACGCUGACGGCCAGCUGCUGCUGUCUCUCUAACGAUGGAGAGCGUCUUAAUAGGCUCCGCACACACUGGCAGCACCGGGCCUGAUACUCCCACUGGACGCACAAAUACCAGUAAAAGAGGCUGGAGACUGUUAACCUUGAGCUGCCACAGGGGGAAGAGGAGCAGGAAUGGCCAUGGCUGUCAGUCCCGCUCCACUGUCAUGACAGCACUAAAAACUGAGCAGGCCUUCACCUUUACCAAGUUUGAAGUGAACACUGUCUUACAUCCGAUGCUAGGGUUUUCAAUGAGAGGUGCUCCAUUGGA